rnacentral:rRNA from 1 species
CAAAAACAUGUCUUUNUGAGUUAUUUUUAAAGUCUAACCUGCCCAAUGAAAAAUUUUUAAUGGCCGCAGUAAUUUGACUGUGCAAAGGUAGCAUAAUAAUUAGUCUUUUAAUUGAAGGCUUGUAUGAAUGGUUGGACGAAGUAUAAUCUGUUUCAUUUAAAUUUAUUAUAGAAUUUUAUAUUUUAGUAAAAAAGCUAAAAUUUUUUUAAAAGACGAGAAGACCCUAUAAAUCUUUAUAAUUUAUAUUUAUUUUUCUUUUUUUGAUUUAUUUUAUUUUAAUAAUUUAGAUUAUUUUAUUGGGGUGAUAUUAAAAUUUAAAUAACUUUUAAUUUUUUUUUACAUUAAUUUAUGAUUUAUUGAUCCAUUAAUAAUGAUUAAAAGAAUAAGUUACUUUAGGGAUAACAGCGUAAUUUUUUUGGAGAGUUCUUAUUGAUAAAAAAGUUUGCGACCUCGAUGUUGGAUUAAGAUAUAAUUUUAGGUGUAGUUGCUUAAAUAAUAAGUCUGUUCGACUUUUAAAUUCUUACAUGAUCUGAGUUCAAACCGGA